UACGUAGGGUGCAAGCGUUAAUCGGAAUUACUGGGCGUAAAGCGUGCGCAGGCGGCUUUGCAAGACAGAUGUGAAAUCCCCGGGCUCAACCUGGGAACUGCAUUUGUGACUGCAUGGCUAGAGUACGGUAGAGGGGGAUGGAAUUCCGCGUGUAGCAGUGAAAUGCGUAGAUAUGCGGGAGACACCGAUGGCGAAGGCAAUCCCCUGGACCUGUACUGACGCUCAUGCACGAAAGCGUGGGGAGCAAACAGG
rnacentral:rRNA from 1 species